AUUCCAUCCACCCAAUUAAAACCCUAACUAUUUUCUUCCCUAAUUUUCCUCUUCUUCUCGUCGUCUCUCUUUGUCUCUUUAUCAUCUCCGUCACAUAUGGUCGCCGUCAUUAGAGACCACACCGGAGCUUGUCCCUAGGAGCAACGAGCGGUGCGCAAUUCCAGCAUUUGUACCUUUAUGCCCGAAUCUGUGGUUUUGUCGAUGUAUACAAAUUGGGGCGAUUCGUGGUUUCACGGAUGCCUUUGUGUUUGCUUGGCUUCUACGUGGAUGUGGUGACGGUGACGACGUGCUCAUAUGCCUGUUGAAGCAAUUCUAGGUCAUGAUUCAGAGUUGAAGCCGGUGGGUCAGCCUAUGUAUGGAAUUUCAAUCUUUGAUAAGGCGGUGGUGUAGGUAUUUUUAUCUAUAGGUGGUUAUCUGAUGUGAAGACGGCGGUUGUGUGGUAAUGGUGGUUUUGUCGUUGUUGUUGGUGGCAGAUAUG
rnacentral:lncRNA from 1 species